rnacentral:rRNA from 1 species
GGUUAAGCGACUAAGCGUACACGGUGGAUGCCCUGGCAGUCAGAGGCGAUGAAGGACGUGCUAAUCUGCGAUAAGCGUCGGUAAGGUGAUAUGAACCGUUAUAACCGGCGAUUUCCGAAUGGGGAAACCCAGUGUGAUUCGUCACACUAUCAUUACGUGAAUACAUAGCGUAAUGAAGCGAACCGGGGGAACUGAAACAUCUAAGUACCCCGAGGAAAAGAAAUCAACCGAGAUUCCCCCAGUAGCGGCGAGCGAACGGGGAGCAGCCCAGAGUCUGAAUCAGCUUGUGUGUUAGUGGAACGGUCUGGAAAGUCCGACGGUACAGGGUGAUAGUCCCGUACACCAAAAUGCACAGGUUGUGAACUCGAAGAGUAGGGCGGGACACGUGGUAUCCUGUCUGAAUAUGGGGGGACCAUCCUCCAAGGCUAAAUACUCCUGACUGACCGAUAGUGAACCAGUACCGUGAGGGAAAGGCGAAAAGAACCCCGGCGAGGGGAGUGAAAAAGAACCUGAAACCGUGUACGUACAAGCAGUGGGAGCAUCCUUUUGGGUGUGACUGCGUACCUUUUGUAUAAUGGGUCAGCGACUUAUAUUCUGUAGCAAGGUUAACCGUAUAGGGGAGCCGAAGGGAAACCGAGUCUUAACUGGGCGUUAAGUUGCAGGGUAUAGACCCGAAACCCGGUGAUCUAGCCAUGGGCAGGUUGAAGGUUGGGUAACACUAACUGGAGGACCGAACCGACUAAUGUUGAAAAAUUAGCGGAUGACUUGUGGCUGGGGGUGAAAGGCCAAUCAAACCGGGAGAUAGCUGGUUCUCCCCGAAAGCUAUUUAGGUAGCGCCUCGUGAACUCAUCUUCGGGGGUAGAGCACUGUUUCGGCUAGGGGGUCAUCCCGACUUACCAACCCGAUGCAAACUGCGAAUACCGAAGAAUGUUAUCACGGGAGACACACGGCGGGUGCUAACGUCCGUCGUGAAGAGGGAAACAACCCAGACCGCCAGCUAAGGUCCCAAAGUCAUGGUUAAGUGGGAAACGAUGUGGGAAGGCACAGACAGCCAGGAUGUUGGCUUAGAAGCAGCCAUCAUUUAAAGAAAGCGUAAUAGCUCACUGGUCGAGUCGGCCUGCGCGGAAGAUGUAACGGGGCUAAACCAUGCACCGAAGCUGCGGCAGCGACACUAUGUGUUGUUGGGUAGGGGAGCGUUCUGUAAGCCGUUGAAGGUGUAUCGUGAGGUAUGCUGGAGGUAUCAGAAGUGCGAAUGCUGACAUAAGUAACGAUAAUGCGGGUGAAAAACCCGCACGCCGGAAGACCAAGGGUUCCUGUCCAACGUUAAUCGGGGCAGGGUGAGUCGACCCCUAAGGCGAGGCCGAAAGGCGUAGUCGAUGGGAAACAGGUUAAUAUUCCUGUACUUGGUGUUACUGCGAAGGGGGGACGGAGAAGGCUAUGUUAGCCGGGCGACGGUUGUCCCGGUUUAAGCAUGUAGGCGGAGGUUCCAGGUAAAUCCGGUACCUUUUUAACGCUGAGGUGUGAUGACGAGGCACUACGGUGCUGAAGUAACAAAUGCCCUGCUUCCAGGAAAAGCCUCUAAGCAUCAGGUAACACGAAAUCGUACCCCAAACCGACACAGGUGGUCAGGUAGAGAAUACCAAGGCGCUUGAGAGAACUCGGGUGAAGGAACUAGGCAAAAUGGUGCCGUAACUUCGGGAGAAGGCACGCUGAUAUGUAGGUGAAGUGAUUUACUCAUGGAGCUGAAAUCAGUCGAAGAUACCAGCUGGCUGCAACUGUUUAUUAAAAACACAGCACUGUGCAAACACGAAAGUGGACGUAUACGGUGUGACGCCUGCCCGGUGCCGGAAGGUUAAUUGAUGGGGUUAUCCGUAAGGAGAAGCUCUUGAUCGAAGCCCCGGUAAACGGCGGCCGUAACUAUAACGGUCCUAAGGUAGCGAAAUUCCUUGUCGGGUAAGUUCCGACCUGCACGAAUGGCGUAAUGAUGGCCAGGCUGUCUCCACCCGAGACUCAGUGAAAUUGAACUCGCUGUGAAGAUGCAGUGUACCCGCGGCAAGACGGAAAGACCCCGUGAACCUUUACUAUAGCUUGACACUGAACACUGGUCCUUGAUGUGUAGGAUAGGUGGGAGGCUUUGAAGUGUGGACGCCAGUCUGCAUGGAGCCAUCCUUGAAAUACCACCCUUUAAUGGCUGGUGUUCUAACGUGGACCCGUUAUCCGGGUUGCGGACAGUGUCUGGUGGGUAGUUUGACUGGGGCGGUCUCCUCCUAAAGAGUAACGGAGGAGCACGAAGGUUAGCUAAUCCUGGUCGGACAUCAGGAGGUUAGUGCAAAGGCAUAAGCUAGCUUGACUGCGAGAGUGACGGCUCGAGCAGGUGCGAAAGCAGGUCUUAGUGAUCCGGUGGUUCUGAAUGGAAGGGCCAUCGCUCAACGGAUAAAAGGUACUCCGGGGAUAACAGGCUGAUACCGCCCAAGAGUUCAUAUCGACGGCGGUGUUUGGCACCUCGAUGUCGGCUCAUCACAUCCUGGGGCUGAAGUAGGUCCCAAGGGUAUGGCUGUUCGCCAUUUAAAGUGGUACGCGAGCUGGGUUUAGAACGUCGUGAGACAGUUCGGUCCCUAUCUGCCGUGGGCGCUGGAGAAUUGAGGGGGGCUGCUCCUAGUACGAGAGGACCGGAGUGGACGCAUCACUGGUGUUCGGGUUGUCAUGCCAAUGGCAUUGCCCGGUAGCUAAAUGCGGAAGAGAUAAGUGCUGAAAGCAUCUAAGCACGAAACUUGCCCCGAGAUGAGUUCUCCCUGAGACUUUAAGUCUCCUGAAGGAACGUU